ACCCAGAAGGAUUGGAAGGCCUAGCUCAUUUCCUUGAGCAUAUGCUAUUUUAUGCAAGUGAAAAAUUCCCUGAAGAAAAUGGUUUGUUCAAGUAUGUCGCUGAGCAUGGAGGGAGUUCAAAUGCUUAUACAACUACUGAAGAUACAAACUACCAUUUCGAUAUCAACACUGAUUCUUUUGAUGAAGCUUUGGACAGGUUUGCACAGUUCUUUAUCAAACCACUGA